rnacentral:rRNA from 1 species
UACGAAGGGUGCAAACGUUGCUCGGAAUUAUUGGACGUAAAGCGCACGUAGGCGGCUUUACAAGUCCCAUGUGAAAUCCCACGGCUUAACCGUGGAACUGCCUGUCAGACUGCAUGGCUUGAGACCAGGAGAGGUGAGUGGAAUUCCCAGUGUAGCGGUGAAAUGCGUAGAUAUUGGGAGGAACACCAGUGGCGAAGGCGGCUCACUGGACUGGUACUGACGCUGAGGCGCGAAAGCGUGGGGAGCAAACAGG